rnacentral:rRNA from 1 species
GGGGGGGGCUAGCGUUUGUUCGGAAUUACUGGGCGUAAAGCGCGCGUAGGCGGGCUGGUCAGUUGGGGGUGAAAUCCCGAGGCUCAACCUCGGAACUGCCCCCAAUACUACCAGUCUUGAGUUCGAGAGAGGUGAGUGGAAUUCCUAGUGUAGAGGUGAAAUUCGUAGAUAUUAGGAAGAACACCAGUGGCGAAGGCGGCUCACUGGCUCGAUACUGACGCUGAGGCGCGAAAGCGUGGGGAGCAAACAGGAUUAGAUACCCUGGUAGUCCACGCCGUAAACGAUGGGUGCUAGUUGUCGGGCGGCAUGCCGUUCGGUGACGCAGCUAACGCGUUAAGCACCCCCGCCUGGGGACUACGGUCGCAAGACUA